AGCCUCGUGGUGUACUGCAUGUUGGAUUGCAAAUCCAAAGGAGCAGAUUGACGUCUGCCGGGGCUU
rnacentral:tRNA from 1 species